UACGGAGGGUGCAAGCGUUGUCCGGAUUUAUUGGGUUUAAAGGGUGCGUAGGUGGCUUAUUAAGUCAGUGUUUAAAGUCAACAGCUCAACUGUUGGAAUGGCAUUGAUACUGAUGAGCUUGAGUAAAGUUGAGGUAGACAGAAUUGAUGGUGUAGCGGUGAAAUGCGUAGAUAUCGCUUGGAACGCCAAAGGUGAAAACAGGUUGCUGGGAAUGUGCCGACGCUGAGACACGAAAGCCAGGGGAGCAAACGGG
rnacentral:rRNA from 1 species